UACGUAGGGGGCAAGCGUUGUCCGGAAUCAUUGGGCGUAAAGCGCGUGUAGGCGGCCCGAUAAGUCCGCUGUGAAAGUCCAGGGCUCAACCCUGGGAUGCCGGUGGAUACUGUCGGGCUCGAGUCCGGAAGAGGCGAGUGGAAUUCCUGGUGUAGCGGUGAAAUGCGUAGAUAUCGAGAGGAACACCAAUGGCGAAGGCAGCUCGCUGGGACGGUACUGACGCUGAGACGCGAAAGCGUGGGGAGCAAACAGG
rnacentral:rRNA from 1 species